AAACAGGAGAGUUGAGUUAAUCCUGUUGGAUGUGGUUCGUCCUUCUUGGUGGUAUGCUGACAUUACCCUGGAUACCGUGACUUGCUGUCUUGGUCACAGAUGCGCCAGCAAGACGUGCACCAACAAUUUGUCCUGUUUGAACUCUGGAAAACUAAUCGAAUAUUUUGUUCUGGGGAUGAUUUCAAAAUUAUUAUGGAAAUUAACGGUUUGGACAUAUCUAACAUUGACUAGUGGUUAGAAGGACUAAAUUAUCAAUUGACUGGGCUACAAUAAAUAUGAUUCUGGUUAAAGGUGAGAGGAUGAGUCUAUUAGAUUAUCCAUAUAUAACAGUUGAUACUUUCACCAGGUGAGUUGAGAGAGCUAAACUCAUAACCAAAGAACAAUUGUUUGUGCUGAUACCAACAUAACAUGGCUGGAUGCGCUGCCCUUGGUGAUGUUUUCUAUGAGAUCAUCACCAACUGAGCACAUGGGUUUAGCACCACAUGAGCUGCUGACAGGAAGAACCAUGCCUUCUCCUUUCAUCUUCUCUUUCCAAGUGUGGCUGUGCACCCAAGCUGGAUUCACAGAGAGGAAUUAAUAUGAAACGUUCAACAAUUAAUAAGUAAUCUAGGGUGAAGUUUUUGUCUCAUAACAUACAGGAGGCUCCAAACCAGAGAACCAACGGGAGAGACUCCAGAGCAGAUUGGACCUGGGCAGUAGAUAUACAGACAGGUGUACCUUUUAAAGUGAAACAGGGCUCCCUUCCGGACAGGAAGGAGGAGAGGAUAAUGCAUAGGGUCAGCCAGAUAGGAUGGAGGUCAUCUGCAUGAUUGGCAUUCUUGUUGGCUCCACACUUGCUCUUCCACCGGUGAUCAUCGGGAUAGGGGAGACAAGCGCGCUGAUGUCUCUUUGCUGGCAAACAGACAUAAACUCUUCAAACUGGAUCCAAGAGUGUCAUUCAAUCAUCGAUCAUAU